rnacentral:rRNA from 1 species
AGCAGCCGCGGUAAUUCCAGCUCCAAUAGCGUAUAUUAAAGUUGCUGCAGUUAAAAAGCUCGUAGUUGAAUUUCGGGACUAAUAUGUCGGUCGUGCCUCGGUACGUACUGGUAUUUUUGGUUUCUCCCUUCUGACGAACCUUGAUGUCAUUAAUUUGGUGUCUUGGGAAAUCAGGACUGUUACUUUGAAAAAAUUAGAGUGUUUAAAGCAGGCUCACGCUUGAAUACAUUAGCAUGGAAUAAUGAAAUAGGACGUUUGAUUCUAUUUUGUUGGUUUCUAGGAUCGACGUAAUGAUUAAUAGGGAUAGUUGGGGGCAUUAGUAUUCAAUUGUCAGAGGUGAAAUUCUUGGAUUUAUUGAAGACUAACUACUGCGAAAGCAUUUGCCAAGGAUGUUUUCAUUAAUCAAGAACGAAAGUUAGGGGAUCGAAGACGAUCAGAUACCGUCGUAGUCUUAACCAUAAACUAUGCCGACUAGGGAUCGGAUGAUGUAAUUUUUAAUG